rnacentral:rRNA from 1 species
UACGAAGGGGGCUAGCGUUGCUCGGAAUCACUGGGCGUAAAGGGUGCGUAGGCGGGUCUUUAAGUCAGGGGUGAAAUCCUGGAGCUCAACUCCAGAACUGCCUUUGAUACUGAAGAUCUUGAGUUCGGGAGAGGUGAGUGGAACUGCGAGUGUAGAGGUGAAAUUCGUAGAUAUUCGCAAGAACACCAGUGGCGAAGGCGGCUCACUGGCCCGGUACUGACGCUGAGGCAUGAAAGCGUGGGGAGCAACAGG